AGGUGCACAGUUUUGCAAAUCUUGACAUAUUCAUGAAUUGUGAUCUCCUAAGAAUUUUUCAACCUUUAAGAUAUCGUUAUCUGCUCCCCUAACUAGAGAUAUAAUACAGGUGAGGACAGGAUAAGAGGCUACUAGAAAUAUCUUUUCUCUUCCUCUUAUGAAGUAGAAGAUAAUCAAGUGUGACUUGUCAGUAAUAGAACUAAAAACAGACUGGGUGAAAUGUCUGCAAGAUCUGAAUAUAGUAAACUUUUUGAAAAGACAUUUCAGGAAACUCAACAAGGUGAAAGGUUAUUUAAAUGUCCAGAAUGUGAGAAAUCAUUUAUUACAAAAGCAUAUUUUGUUGAACAUCAGAGAAUUCACAAAGGAGUGAAGCCAUAUUCAUGUUCGGAAUGUGAGAAAUGUUUUACUUCAAAAUUACAACUGGUGAGACAUCAGAGAAUUCACACAGGAGAGAAGCCAUAUUCGUGUCCUGAAUGUGAAAAGUGUUUUAGUCAGAGGUCAGAUCUUGUCCGACAUCAGAGAAUUCACACAGAAGAGAAACCAUUUUCAUGUCCUGAAUGUGAGAAAUGUUUUAGUCGAAAAUCAUAUCUUGUUUUGCAUCAGAGA